UACGGAGGGUGCAAGCGUUGUCCGGAUUUAUUGGGUUUAAAGGGUGCGUAGGUGGCCUUAUAAGUCAGUGGUGAAAUUCUGUAGCUUAACUAUAGAACUGCCAUUGAUACUGUAGGGCUUGAGUGUCGUUAAGGCAGGCGGAAUUUAUGGUGUAGCGGUGAAAUGCAUAGAUACCAUAAAGAACACCGAUAGCGAAGGCA
rnacentral:rRNA from 1 species